rnacentral:lncRNA from 1 species
GUAUCUUUAAUAAAGACAUCAAUCCAAAGACAGAAAAAGGAAUUCAACACUUUCUGUGCAAUAAUAAACAAGUGUCAUUUAAAUUACACUAUGUCAAAUUCUAAGUCUUUUUAAGAAAAAGUUUAAAAAAAAAUGAUUUUGGAAUAUUUAAGACAUGUCAUCAAUUCUGUAUUCCCCAGUCACACAUACAAAACAUUUGGAUAAAACAAAUGAUAAUCACUUAUGG